AGGACGGGGGAGAAAGAGGGAGAGGACUCUCUCUGCCUCAUGGCUGGGUGAGGAGAGGCCAACGAGGAGCAGAGGGAACGGGAGCAAGCAGGGAACCCGCAGCUGGGCUUGGUGGCAGCGUAGAGGUGGCCACUGGAACGGCUCGUGGGGAAGGCAGGACCUGCGUGGAAGAAGCUUGGAGAGCAUCCAGACACAACACAUGCACUCAGCUCCUUUGCCAAGUCCCUUCUCCUCCUCUUCCUCCCACAGGACGCAGCUCGGUGUGGGUGGUUGUGCUCAGAAAUCAAAGGAGGGGUCAAAAAUCAGCCACAAAGCAAAAUCCCUCUUCCCUUCCCCUUCCCCUCCUCCCAGGCUGGAGCAACCACGUCGCUCUCCUCCACGGAUGUCUCCUUGGGCACCAACCCUCAGCCUCUGCUGCUCCAAGCGCGUGAUCCAUGGGGCUGCUUCAGGUGGGAAGCUGAUUUCCAGUGGGAAGGAGCCCUCCCAGCAAGCAAAGGACUGUGGGUCAAAUGGCACCAGCACCAAGAAGCGGUGAGAAGGUUUGUUUUUGGAUUGCUCCAUAGAGUCCAGGGCACUACAGCCUCUUCUUGCCUGUGGCAUAGAUCAUGGACUCGGCAUGGGCACAUUCAGAGAUUCCAGCUGCCCAGAAGUCUCCUGUGUGCCCUGGAAGUCACACCCGGAGCAACACGCGUUUCUGGCCCUGUUGGAUCCUGCUGUCAGCCACAAGACACCCUGCGGUUCACCCUGCAAACAAGGAAGUGUUGUACCCAAGACAUCUCCUGACAGAGAAACCCCCAGGCUGACACCCCCCAGCAGCAGCACCAGCAAACCCCGGAUCCUCUGUAGCAGCACGCAUCCAUCCGAGAGAGGAACUUCAAGAGGAGAAAGGGGACUUUUGGGUGGAAAUAAUCUCCUUAGGGGCAUCAGUCCAGGGUAUUUACUCAUCUUUGGGACAAGCCUGAAUCCUCAGGGCAUAUCCCUUGCCUGGUUUCUUCAGAAAUUACCUGGGAAUAGGAAAAGGAGCGAAAGUGUCUCUUACAGGAAGAAGAGGGAAAAGGAAGGAUUUGGAGCGUGCAGGAGCUGCCUCCCUACCUGA
rnacentral:lncRNA from 1 species